rnacentral:rRNA from 1 species
UACGAAGGGGGCUAGCGUUGCUCGGAAUCACUGGGCGUAAAGCGCACGUAGGCGGAUUGUUAAGUCAGGGGUGAAAUCCUGGAGCUCAACUCCAGAACUGCCUUUGAUACUGGCGAUCUUGAGUCCGGGAGAGGUGAGUGGAACUGCGAGUGUAGAGGUGAAAUUCGUAGAUAUUCGCAAGAACACCAGUGGCGAGGCGGCUCACUGGCCCGGUACUGACGCUGAGGUGCGAAAGCGUGGGGGAGCAAACAGGG